ACGAACGCUGGCGGCGUGCUUAACACAUGCAAGUCGAACGGAAAGGCCCUUCGGGGUACUCGAGUGGCGAACGGGUGAGUAACACGUGGGUGAUCUGCCCUGCACUUUGGGAUAAGCCUGGGAAACUGGGUCUAAUACCGAAUACACCUCUUGGGUUGCAUGACUCUUGGGGGAAAGCUUUUGCGGUGUGGGAUGGGCCCGCGGCCUAUCAGCUUGUUGGUGGGGUGAUGGCCUACCAAGGCGACGACGGGUAGCCGGCCUGAGAGGGUGUCCGGCCACACUGGGACUGAGAUACGGCCCAGACUCCUACGGGAGGCAGCAGUGGGGAAUAUUGCACAAUGGGCGCAAGCCUGAUGCAGCGACGCCGCGUGGGGGAUGACGGCCUUCGGGUUGUAAACCUCUUUCAGCACAGACGAAGCGCAAGUGACGGUAUGUGCAGAAGAAGCACCGGCCAACUACGU
rnacentral:rRNA from 1 species